rnacentral:lncRNA from 1 species
GAUAAACAAGAGUGCACACGCUGAAAUGUCUCGCCUUCUAUACUAAUCAUUGAUAUUAUGUUGAUAGUCCUAAGUAAAAAGCUAAGUUUUAUAACAACUGUACCAUAAACUUAACAUUAACCAAGAUAACUAAACAAAGACCAAUGAACCUUGAAAAUGAGGUCAAGGUCAGAUGAACCAUGCCAGGCAGACAUGUACAGCUAACGAUGCUUCUAUACAACAUAUAUAGUUGACCUAUUACUUAUAGUUUAAGAAAAAUAGACCAAAACACAAAAACUUAACACUGUGCAAUGAACCGUGAAAAUGAGGUCACGGUCAAAUAAAACCUGCGCGACUGACACAAAGAUCAUAAAAUAUUUCCAUACACCAAAUAUAGUUGACCUAUGGCAUAUAGUAUUAGAUAAAAAGACCAAAACUCAAAAACUUAACUUUGACCACUGAACCAUAAAAAUGAGGUCAAGGUCACAUGACAUCUGCCCGCUAGACAUGUACACCUUACAAUCAUUCCAUACAACAAAUAUAGUAGACCUAUUGCAUAUAGUAUGAGAACAACAGACCAAAACACAAAAAUUUAACUAUAACCACUGAACCAUGAAAAUGAGGUCAAGGUCAGAUGACACCUGCCAGUUGGACAUGUACACCUUACAGUCCUUCCAUACACCGAAUAUACUAGCCCUAUUGCUUAUAGUAUCUGAGAUAUGGACUUGACCACCAAAAC